rnacentral:rRNA from 1 species
UGAGCACUCCUACGGGAGGCAGCAGUGGGGAAUAUUGCACAAUGGGCGCAAGCCUGAUGCAGGCCAUGCCGCGUGUAUGAAGAAGGCCUUCGGGUUGUAAAGUACUUUCAGCAGUGAGGAAGGUGGGUAUGGUUAAUAGCAUACUCAUUUGACGUUAGCUGCAGAAGAAGCACCGGCUAACUCCGUGCCAGCAGCCGCGGUAAUACGGAGGGUGCGAGCGUUAAUCGGAAUUACUGGGCGUAAAGCGCAUGCAGGUGGUUUGUUAAGUCAGAUGUGAAAGCCCAGGGCUCAACCUCGGAAUUGCAUUUGAAAACUGGCAAACUAGAGUACUGUAGAGGGGGUAGAAUUUCAGGUGUAGCGGUGAAAUGCGUAGAGAUCUGAAGGAAUACCGGUGGCGAAGGCGGCCCCCUGGACAGAUACUGACACUCAGAUGCGAAAGCGUGGGGAGCAAACAGGAUUAGAUACCCUGGUAG